rnacentral:pre_miRNA from 1 species
UACCUAUACAUGUGUGUCCUUUGGUGACUAGUGUGAGAGAAAUAAAUGUAUAGUGGUCUCUCUGGUGGCUAAAUAGUAAUGUCGUAUGCAGGUC